rnacentral:rRNA from 1 species
GCUGGCGGUAGGCUUAACACAUGCAAGUCGUGCGAGAAAGUAUCUUCGGAUAUGAGUAGAGCGGCGGACGGGUGAGUAACGCGUAGGAAUCUACCUAGUAGAAGGGGAUAGCCCGGGGAAACUCGGAUUAAUACCGUAUACCUCCUUCGGGAGAAAGAAGGCCUCUCUUUGAAGCUUUUGCUAUUAGAUGAGCCUGCGUAAGAUUAGCUUGUUGGUGAGGUAAAGGCUCACCAAGGCAACGAUCUUUAGCGGGUCUGAGAGGACGAUCCGCCACAUUGGGACUGAGACACGGCCCAGACUCCUACGGGAGGCAGCAGUGGGGAAUAUUGGACAAUGGGCGCAAGCCUGAUCCAGCCAUACCGCGUGUGUGAAGAAGGCCCUAGGGUUGUAAAGCACUUUAAGUUGGGAAGAAAAGUUAUUGGUUAAUACCCAAUAACCGUGACAUUACCUUCAGAAUAAGGACCGGCUAAUUCCGUGCCAGCAGCCGCGGUAAUACGGAAGGUCCAAGCGUUAAUCGGAAUUACUGGGCGUAAAGCGCGCGUAGGUGGUUUAUUAAGUUGGAUGUGAAAUCCCCGGGCUCAACCUGGGAACUGCAUCCAAAACUGAUUCACUAGAGUACGAUAGAGGGAGGUAGAAUUCACAGUGUAGCGGUGGAAUGCGUAGAUAUUGUGAAGAAUACCAAUGGCGAAGGCAGCCUCCUGGAUCUGUACUGACACUAAGGUGCGAAAGCGUGGGUAGCGAACAGGAUUAGAUACCCUGGUAGUCCACGCCGUAAACGAUGUCAACUAGCUGUUGGGAAACAAUGUUUCUCAGUGGCGCAGCUAACGUAGUAAGUUGACCGCCUGGGGAGUACG